rnacentral:rRNA from 1 species
AGCGAACGUUUGCGGCGGGCUUAACACAUGCAAGUCGAACGAGAAUCCCUUCGGGGAGGAAAGUGGCGCACGGGUGCGUAACACGUGGAUAACCAACCCAUUGGUUUGGGACAACACCGGGAAACUGGUGCUAAUACCAGAUGUGUCGCAGCUGUCUUCAGGCGGUUGCGAGAAAGGCCCGCAAGGGUCGCCAACGGACGGGUCCGCGUCCCAUCAGCUAGUUGGUGAGGUAACGGCUCACCAAGGACGAAGACGGGUAGGCUGGUCUGAGAGGAUGAUCAGCCACACUGGAACUAGAGACACGGUCCAGACUCCUACGGGAGGGCAGCAGUGGGGAAGUAAUUG